ACCACAUUCAGUUCCCAGGGACUAGACACGCUGUGCCAUGUAACGUAUUUUACAUUGCUAGGGAGUUAUUGGAGCCUGAGGAUAGCAGCAUUUUUCUGCCUUCUGACUAUUGUGCUGACAGAUAGUUUUUGCUAUUACAUUUAUUUGGAAAGGAAAAUAAGCAAAUGCAAACAUUCAGAGUUGUUUUCCUCCUUCAGAUUUAAAAACAGAAUUUUUCCCUCAUAUUGUUCUACACUGAAAUGUGACAUAGUAAAGCUGUCUAGAGCCACAGUCUGUCCUGUCUUGAGAAAAAAAUAACAUCACCUCCGAGUGAAGCAAAUAAAAACUGGACUCCUUCCACUGGAUGGGAACCAAAGAGCUGCAGUAAUGAUCCCCAUGUUUCCUCUGCCAGACGAGGCAGGUAGGAGAGCGAGUCGCUGUUUGUGUGAGCAUCACAACCCGUUUUGUUCUUUUCAGAUUUUCAGUUCCAGGAUUUUCUGACAGCUUCUAUUGCCAUACGGCCCUGCGUGGGACAGGACAGUGUCGCAUGUGAGGAAAGGCAGACAGACAACAGAGGGAACCAGGCAGCUGAGCGAUAUACGUGUUUUAAAUGCAACAUACUGAAGCACCAUGUGGACAACUUGUGAAAGCCGACUAAGGAUCAGAUCAUGGCAGAAGACACCAAAACCAAUUUGUGGACUGUUCCACUAAGCAGCCUUUCUAUUUCGUGUUAAAGACGGGCAUAAAUGAACAAUGCCAGCUGUUAGAAACCAAGUACAGUGAGUGGGCCUGGCCUAGCCAUCUAUGUUAACUUUGGAUCCAGUUUCUGAUCUGGCCAUCCUGGAAGGACUUUGUUAUGGGGAAUCCGUGCAGCUGAACCCCAGGUCGUUAUAUAGUGAUUGCUACUUCAGACCUUGCUCCUGCCAACACUACGUGUGUAUACGCUUAUACAGGAGAACAGUCUCAAUGAUCU
ensembl:lncRNA